UCAGGACGAACGCUGGCGGCGUGCUUAACACAUGCAAGUCGAGCGGAAAGGCCCCUUCGGGGGUACUCGAGCGGCGAACGGGUGAGUAACACGUGAGCAACCUGCCCCUGACUCUGGGAUAAGCCCGGGAAACUGGGUCUAAUACCGGAUAUGACCAGCCUUCGCAUGGUGUGUUGGUGGAAAGUUUUUCGGUUGGGGAUGGGCUCGCGGCCUAUCAGCUUGUUGGUGGGGUGAUGGCCUACCAAGGCGACGACGGGUAACCGGCCUGAGAGGGCGACCGGUCACACUGGGACUGAGACACGGCCCAGACUCCUACGGGAGGCAGCAGUGGGGAAUAUUGCGCAAUGGGCGGAAGCCUGACGCAGCGACGCCGCGUGGGGGAUGACGGCCUUCGGGUUGUAAACCUCUUUCAGCAGGGACGAAGCUAACGUGACGGUACCUGCAGAAGAAGCGCCGGCUAACUACGUGCCAGCAGCCGCGGUAAUACGUAGGGCGCAAGCGUUGUCCGGAAUUAUUGGGCGUAAAGAGCUCGUAGGCGGUUUGUCGCGUCUGUCGUGAAAGCCCACGGCUUAACUGUGGGUCUGCGGUGGAUACGGGCAGACUAGAGGCAGGUAGGGGAGAAUGGAAUUCCCGGUGUAGCGGUGAAAUGCGCAGAUAUCGGGAGGAACACCGGUGGCGAAGGCGGUUCUCUGGGCCUGUACUGAC
rnacentral:rRNA from 1 species